rnacentral:misc_RNA from 1 species
UUUCCGUAGGUGAACCUGCGGAAGGAUCAUUAAUGAAAUUAUAGAGUGCUCUUUUUAGAGGCUCGACCAAAUUCAUUUUCACUACACCGUGCACAUGCGCUUUUUUACACAUUUUAUAACUCGUUAAAGUAUAUAAGAAUGUCACAGUCUCUUAAUUGAGCAUAAAUUAAUUAAUAAAACUUUCGGCAACGGAUCUCUUGGCUCUCGCAUCGAUGAAGAACGCAGC